CGUCUUCAAAAUUCUCAAAACUCCCACGAAUCAGAAACAACUCAACCUCUCUGCUCUUCGUUUCACUCUCGGGAUACCUGGGCUGGACGAGUCCUAUUUACCCCGAUGGAUUGGGUACCGGUUCGGCUCCCUUCUGAUUCUGAACCAUUUCGAGGGUUCGGAUUCUGCUACCAAUCCGGCGCAGCUUGUGAGCAACCCCUUUUUAUGAGAUUGCUUCUGAUUCGAUUCUUGUUGCGCUUCUGCUACUACCACUCCAGCGCAGCUUAAGCUAUCGGCCUUUCUUUGGCUGCAUUCUCUAUUUUAGUAGCUUAUAUUGGAAAAUUUCUCAAGGUUUGAGAGACAAAUUGAAUUAUGUGCACGUGGCUACUGGGACAUACCUGAGGAGGUAUCAAAAUCGAACUUACUUGAUUGGUUUGAGAGACAAAUUGAAAGGAUUGGCUACAAAAUCUGAAGGAUAACCUUUAUUUUCCUCAGAGAUCAGAUUCUGUGCUUUGGGAGCUGUUACGCAAGGGUACUCGUUCUUUUCUUCUACAACCAGCACUACAAGUUCCAGGUGCCACACAGAUGGAAAGCAUUGGAGGGUUUGCCAUGUUGGCUUCAAGCAUGAGCUAUGCAUAUUCUGAUACAUGUAAAGCCUGGAUAAGAGCUCUUGCAAACAAAUUUGGAGGAUGAUAUGGUAUAUAGAUCUUUUAUUGAUCAACACCCGGGUCAAAGUUCCAGAUUGGUUACCUUGAGUCCCACGACCUUUCUGAUGGCCCAGAUUAGGCCUGACAUGAGACAUUGCACGUCACUGAUACCAUGUUUGAGAGAGAAUAUCCGUGGUAAGAAGUUUUAUGGAUUAAAUUAUUGCUAUAUUAUUAAAGAUGCACCACUCACUCGAGUCCUUGCUUCUGAAAACAAGAAAAGGAAAACCGCUCACACACCUCUUCUGGG